rnacentral:rRNA from 1 species
AAGAGUGAACUAGCUAACUGAAAUCAUAGAAUUUCUUCAAAUUCAUGAUGUCGUAAGGGAAAAUAAUGAUAAUACCUUACUAUGAGUGUCGUCCAAAUCUGGUGCCAGAAGACUCGGUAAGACCAGAGACGCAAACGUUAAUCAUCAUAAACAGGCGUAAAGGGUUUGUAGGCAGCUUUUAUAAGAUAAUAAAAAUCUAAAUUGAAAGCUAGAAUCAAAAAGAGGUUAUAGUGUAUAACGCCUAGAGGAGGGCUGAUAUCCAUAGAUCCUAGGCAGAAUACUCAGGGCGAAGGCCACUCUCCACUAAUGAUUGACGCUGAGAAACGAAGGUUAGGGUAGGAAAUAGGAUUAGAUACCCCGGUACUCCUUUCUGUAAACGAUGAAUGGUAGUCAUUAGUUUUAAUAAAUAACUAGAGGCGAAGUUAACACAAUAACCAUUCCGCCUUGUGAGUACUACUGCAAAGUAGAAAACAAAAAAAUUAGUCGGUCUCGAAGCAAACGGAGUGAAGCAUGUUAUUUAAUACGAU